AAAGAAAGAUUAUAAAAAGUUAGAAAGAAGUUGCCGACUAAUCCCGGUGGACACCACUACUAGAAAAAAAUCAACCGGCAUAACCCUGUCGUGAGCAGCAACAGUGACUGAGGCAGACACGGGACCCGGUGACAGCUAGACUUCCUGAUCAUGUAUAAUUAUCUUUAACGCAUUCUGUUUUCAAAAAUAAAGAGUGGUGAUCUUCGAACUUUUUGUGUUAUAGUUUUCACACCACUUGUAUUAUGUACUGGUACCGUUCCAAGCGUGUGCGAACGUAUUGAUGUAUUUUAUAAUGUCUUCCGCUGUAUUAUAUUUAAAAUGGAUCGUUUUAACUUUCCCGCGAGUUUAUA